GCACGUCCUGACGCAGCCUGGGCCCGCGGAGGCGGCAAGGGCGGGAGGGAGCGGUCGCCGCGGGAUUUGGAGCUGCCUAGCCUCGCGGUCGCUUCAAGAGAUGGUUCCGUUGCUUUGGGGUGAACUUGGUACCAGUGCCGUGUUACUUAUCCAGUUCUAACUCAAGAAAGUUCUGGAGGGCAUAAUGAUCUUAGAUAAGACCAAGGCCCCGAACCUGACCAUGUUCUGUCUUCCCUCUUUGGCAGCAUGUAAGCAGCUGUUUGCCAAGAACCCAGGUCACUGCUAAGAAAGGGUGUCUUCGGGAGAAGAGUGUCCAGAGGAGACCAAUGCCAGAUGCAUCUGGAGUUACACUCAGCACUUGCAGUAUGAGACAUUGUGUGCCAGCAUCUCCUUCCUUCUGGCAAAGACUGUAGCUCUCCAGGUAGGAGGGUCCUGGAAGCUGUGAGCACCAGGAGCCUUGCCAGAGGAGGAUGGGGCCAGAUAUGAACUCUCUACCAUGAACAUGGUUCUCAGCUUAUAAAGGAAUUUUAAGUAAAACAAUUAUUUAAUUUCCACAUAUUCAAGUUCAAAAGCCUUCUGUGUGAAGUGCCAGUGAUUACCCCUCCAUAGGAGUUAUCAGGAUUUUUCUGGCACCAAGUUGAAUUCUUCUUGGUACUUCUGGUAGUGACAGAUCUGCAGGACAGAUUAUCUAUUGAAUGCUCUUGGGCAGGAAAACCAUGUAAAACCUCUGGAAGCAGCAUCAGGACAGCAGUGCGGAGCCCCCGUCCUCACUGCUCACUUGCACAGAAACUCCAUCUGGACUCGGAUGCUUUUACUGAAGACCCAUCGAGCUUCAUUCAUCUUUAGAGUCCAUCCAUUCUGGGGAGACCU
rnacentral:sRNA from 1 species